rnacentral:rRNA from 1 species
AUUGAACGCUGUCGGCAUGCUUUACACAUGCAAGUCGAACGGUAACAGGCCUUCGGGUGCUGACGAGUGGCGAACGGGUGAGUAAUGCAUCGGAACGUACCCAGAGGUGGGGGAUAACGCAGCGAAAGCUGUGCUAAUACCGCAUGUGAUCUGAGGAUGAAAGCGGGGGACCGAGCAGCAAUGUUUGGCCUCGCGCCUUUGGAGCGGCCGAUGUCGGAUUAGCUAGUUGGUGGGGUAAAGGCCUACCAAGGCGACGAUCCGUAGCUGGUCUGAGAGGACGACCAGCCACACUGGGACUGAGACACGGCCCAGACUCCUACGGGAGGCAGCAGUGGGGAAUUUUGGACAAAGGGCGCAAGCCUGAUCCAGCAAUGCCGCGUGCGGGAAGAAGGCCUUCGGGUUGUAAACCGCUUUUGGCAGGAACGAAACGGUGUCCGCUAAUACCGGGCGCUAAUGACGGUACCUGCAGAAUAAGCGCCGGCUAACUACGUG